ensembl:snRNA U6 U6 spliceosomal RNA
GUGCUCGCUUUGGCAGCACAUAUACUAAAAUUGGAACGAUACAGAGAAGAAUAGCAUGGACCCUGCACAAGGAUGACAUGCAAAUUCGUGAAGCAUUCCAUAUUUUU